UGUUAUAUGAAUUUGAACACUAGCAGAUUUGUCGAAAGUUACAUAUUUCUAUUUAUAACACGUUUUCAUUUUGGGCUAAAACCCAUUAAUGAAAUGUUUGAUCUUGUUCCAAAAUAUCUUUCUAUGGUUCUCUUGCCCUCCCCACCCAGUCCCUUUCAACAAGUGGGCAGGCAUGAAACAAAUGGCAUCAAUCUGAAUCUCAAGUUAUAAUGAUGUGUUUCUCUUACAUUGGAAAUAACAAUCCAGAGUCACUGGAUUAUGGAGUAUGUGAAGGGGUGUAAAGGGUAAGAAAAUUGAAAAAGUAGGAAGGGUGUAGGAUGUGAAGAAAUUUAAAUGCCAAACAGAAUUUUAUAAUUGAUACUGGAGGUAAUAGGGAGCCACUGGAGUUCGCUGAGUAGAUGAGUGACAUGAUAAGACCUGAGCUUUAAGAAAAUCAUCUUGGAGGCUAAAUGGAAACUGAAUUGGAGCAGAAAGAGACCACAUCAGCGACUAUUAGAAUAAUCCUGCUAGUAGAGAGGGGGUAGUGGGGAGGGAAGGAGAAAAAUUUGGAUUUCUAGGUUUUGCAAAGGUGAAUAUUAAAAAUUAUCUUGCAUGUACUUGGAAAAAGCUAUUAUUAUAAAAAAUGAAAAUUCAAAAAAUUUAAAUAUAAAAUACCCCAAAAUAGAAUAAUCAUGGGGUGAGACAAUGAGAACCUGCACCAGGAUGAUAGCAGUGUGAGAAAUGCAAAAUAUUCCAGAAAUGUUUUUGUUUAAUCAUUUUUUAGUUGUGUCCAACUCUUUGAGGCCUUAUUUGGGGUUUUCCUGGCAAAGAAACUGGAGUAGUCUGCCAUUUCCUUCACAAGUUCGUUUUACACAUGAGGGAACUGAGGCAGAGUUAAAUGACUUAUCUAGGAUCAUACAGCUGCUAAGUCUCUAAGGCUGGAUUUGAACUCAGUCUUCCUGAUUCCAUUCUCAGCACUGAAUAUUCACUACGUCAUUACCUACCUGACCUCAUUAGCAAAGGUAAAAUUGGCAGAAUCUGGCAAGUGAUAUGAAGGUGAGGGAGUGAGGAGCAGAGGAUGACAUCUAGGUUUGGUGGUUGGGAGAUUAGAAAUGUCCUCAAUAAUAGAAAAGUUAGAAAAAGAGAAUGGUUUUGGGGGAAAGAAAUUGAGUUCAGGGUUGGACGUGUUAAGUCUGAGUUUUCUAUGGGAUAUCUAGUUUGAGGUGGUAACUGAAGAUCAGGAGAGAGGUUCGGGCUGGAUUAGUAGAUCAGAAAAUCAGAGGUAUAGAGAUGAUAGUUAAACCACAAGCUCCCUUGCUUAACCUUUUCUUUCAAGACAACCAAGAGUGACUUGCCCAGGUCUAAGUAAGCGACUAAGGUUGCAUUUAAAUUCAGGACCUCGGGACUCCAGGGUCUGUGAUUUAUCCACUGCACCAGAUAAUUGCCUAACUUGUUUAACUUUUAAAGCCCUUCACAGCUUGCUCCAACUUACCUUUCCAAUCUUAUCAUACAUUAAUCUUCUCACAUUCAAACUGAUCUUGUGCCACUUCUCAUCUCAGGGACUUUGCACUAGCUGAUCCUCAUAUUUGGAAUGUUCUCGCCUCUUGUUUUUGUUAGAAAUCUUUAUUUCCUUUAAAAAGUCCACCUUUGUCUGAUCAUUUUCUCUGUCUCCUCCCCCCCCCCCCCAAUUAUUUUCCUUGUACUUAUUUUGCCUAUUUUACAGACACUUAUUUGUGUCUGUGAGAAGAGAGACAGGUAGCUAUGGAAUCACAGGGAUCUUCUCACUCCCUGCAUUAGAAUUUUCAGUGGCUCCCUAUUGCCUACAGGAUAAACUCCAAAUUCUCUUGAUACCACAGUUGGGUGGCACCCUAAAUGGAAGUCAAAUGGGCCUGGAGUCAAGAAGAGUGGAGUUCAAACUUUGAAAUUAGGCUGAUCAGCAUAAUGACUGCCCAGCAUUCCAGAGGGCUGACUAUGAAACCUACUACUCAGUUCCUGAUAGAAGGGUGAAAAAUGAGGGCAGGAGGUUCACCUUUUUCUGGACAUGGCCAAUGUAGAAACACGUUUUGCUUACUAUACAUGUUUGUAAUAGGAAUUUUGUUCUUUUAUUCUUGUUUGGAGGAGGCAGAGAUUCAGGGGGAGGGAGAAAAGGCAGAUAUUUGUUGAUUUUAAAAAUACUUUAAAAAUAAACAAGUUCCAAUUUGGUCUCAGACACUAGUUGUGUGACUGUGCAAACCUUAUUGUGUGCCUCAGUUUCCUUAUCUCUAAAAUGCUAGCACUUACCGUCCCAGGGUUUCUAUGAGGAUAUUUAUAUAAGCAUUCUAGAAAUGGUAGCUAUUAUUUAAUGUUUCUUCAAUUUGAUCCUCACCUGGCUUCAUAGCCUUCUUUCCAACUCCUCCACAAAAGAAUGAUGUCCAUGUAUCUUUAUCCUUGCCUAAAUGGGCUGUGUACAUUACAGCCUCCUUCACUGCUGACUCCCUCUCCCUCCUUGAAAUAUCUUCUGUCCUUCAAUCCUAUUCAUCCUUCAAGAUUCAGAUCAAGGGCCAUAUUGUACUUGAGAAAAGAGUCAGACUAUCAUAUUAAAAUACACACAGGAUUUGGUCUUAGACAUUCUGUAAAUCUGUAAGAAAGUGGGUGACUGACUGCUUUAGGGAUCUGUGGGGAUUCAUGUCUCAGUUUCCUCAUCUGUAAAAUGAAUUUGGACUAUGUGGUGUCUGAGAUCUGUGAUCCCAUGAAUUCUGGGAUUCUCAGAUUGACAAAAAGGGAAUCUUGGUCACAGCUAUCAAAAUGCCUGCAUGUAUUGCACAUAUCCUGGUCACAGGACAACUUGUUUGGCCCGUAAUUGUCAGGCAUUGGUUCCUGACUAGUCCUGGCUGUUCCCUAAUGGCCAGCUUGUCCACUGUCUUAUUAAUUUCAAUCUUUUUGGUUCUGGGUCCCCGGUUUUUGUCAUCAUGUCUGGAUAACAGUUCAAUGCUACCAAGUAGAAUUCUUGCUGGUUGCUGGCCUCAGGGAGGGGGACAGAGAUGUUAAACAACUCUCAUGUUGUUUUAAUCAUGUCUGACUCUGUGUGAUCCCAUUUGGAGUUUUCUUGGCAAAGAUACCGGAGUGGUUUUCCAUUUUCUUCUCCAGCUCAUUUUACAGAUAAAAAAACCAUGAGGCAAAUAGGGUUAAGCGACUUGCCCAGGACCACAGAGCUAGUGUCUGAGGUAAAAUGUGAACUCAGGUUUUCCUGGCUCCAGGCUUCCUGGAGCUCUAUCCUCUCUGCCAACUGUCAGUUCCCACUUAGUUGGUGUUCAGUAAAUGCUUGUUGCUCAUGACCCAGCUUGUGGGCCUGGUUCCUGGGAGAGAAUGGGACCCCACAAGAGCAGCCCAACUCCAAGUCCCAUUCUCUUGGCCAUUCAGGCCCCACAUUCCCAAUCGCUAGGAGUCUUCCCUGUCAGAUCUUCAUUGAUCCAUGGGGUAUAUACUCCCUUCUGCUUAGCCCACUCCUCCCAUCCUGUCUUUUAUUCCUUGGGCUGGAAUGUGAGAAGUUCUAAUCUGGUCAAUUAGGAUAUGUGAGGAAAAGAAAGAGAAAACACCAUUUUUAAUCAACCCAUCUGCACAGAAACCAAGGGAGCACCUUUGGGGAGAAGGCAGGCGGUUGGGGGAGUAUAGUGUCGUUCUGGCCCAAAUUAGAAAAGAAAGCAAUUCACUUUACAAAGACUGUCUUAAAAAAUCAAAAGGCUUCAAAGCACCAGUGGCUAAACCUGUUGAGUAAAAAGAAGGGAGUUGGGUGGGAAGGGGGUGAGGAGAAAAUCAGCUUGGGGAUGAUGGGGGCUGAGAGGAGAUGCAGAGGAAAGUUCUGGACCUAGACGGAGAAUAGAACAAAAACCUAGGGAUGUGUGGGGGAACCAACCUGGGCAAGGGAAAGUGGUUGAGAAAGUAUGUUUGGAAGCAUUUGGCCCAGGGGGUAGAAGAGACAAGAGGAGGGUAAGAAGCUGGGCCAGCCCAGGCCCAGGAGGGAGCCAAUCUGAAGGGAAAAGCUUGCUCCUUCUUUGUUCCCCGGGCUGGCCAGAGGGCUAGAGGCAGGGACUGAGAUUGCCAUGAGUUCCAGUCCUAGGAAGGAGGCUUGAGAGGGGUAAGUCAAAGGAACUGGAACCCAAGCAGGAAAAAAAGAAAGACUAUUGCUAAAUUCUGGUUUAGAGGCUCAAUGGGACUGAUCCAGCUAUUGGGAUGCUUUGCUCCUAGUGGUCAUCUGAGAGGCCAAAUGAACAUCAAAAGCCAAGAUGAGACUCAGUUCCUCUUCUUCUUGGGAUAACCUGUGUCCUACAAGGUAACCCCUUGCCCAAGUGUCCCCCUGUACCUCCUCUCCCGAGAGGUAAUCUGCCCAAAUCCUUUCAGUGUGCCAUACAGACCAACACCAGGAAACAAGAAUGGUCCCUUCUUUAGAUGAGAAGAUGGAACACCAAAGACUGAGCCAGACGUCCAAAGCAUCUCAUCCAGCACUUAGCCCUGGUAGUACUGCUCCUACCAAGAUAAGUUAAUUCAGCUGGGUAACUGCGCCGUGCCCCUACGAAGGGAAGGAGGCAACAAGGCAUCUCCCACCAGUAUCUUUCCCAAUCAAAGGAGACAACAGGUUUCUCCAGAGAAGCGGUGGGUACUCUGCCCUUCCAAAUAUCCUGGUCCCUCCUGCAGCAUCCUCACUCCUUCCUUCUUUACAUGUCACAGAAGUGAAAUCUAUGUCAGAUUUGGGUGGCCUCCAAACUCCCCAGUGCCUUGGGUUCCUGAGUUCCAAGGGGGUUUGAUAGGCCCUGCAGAAAAGAGGGGUCACCCGGAAAGAUUUGUGUGUGUGUGUGUGUGUGUGUGUGUGUGUGUGUGAGAGAGAGAGAGAGAGAGAUACAGACAGACAGACAGAGACAGAGAUAGAGAGAGAUAGUGAGUGUGUGUGUGAAAGACAGAGAGAGAGAGAGAGAGAGAGAGAGAGAGAGUUGAGGAGGGUCCUCUGGGUCAGGAGGUUUGUGGGAACGGGAAAGAGGACAAAAGAAGGCUCUGAUGAGAAAAAUGGGCCAGACAGGAAAGGAAUCGCUGUGGCUGGCCCAGGUCAAGGAAACCUUUUCUUUCCUUUCUGGAAGGGAGGGGAAAGAAUCCCCUAGAAGAAGAACACUGCUCUCCCUCCAAUCGCUGGCCCCUGGCCAUUUUAUCCCAACACCGAGAAUUGCUCUAUUGCUUUGACAGAGAUUGGUGGGUGGCAGGCAGCGUGUGGAGAGUGUAAGUGUAGGGGCUGGGUGGGUGCUGUGGGGGAGGCCAUGGGGAAGGUGGAGGCUCUGUACCUGAGUGGUGGUGAUGGGAGAGAUAAAGCUAAGCGAGACGGGGCUCUGUGAGGGAGGGACGCGGAAGCAGUGUCUGUGGGACUCUGAACGGGUGGGUGCCGGGUCACUGGGGAGCACGGAGAGCCCAAGGUCUGGAUGGCCCCUGUUGGAGGGGAGGGAGGGAGGAUGGAGUUCCUGGGAGGGGAGUGAACGGGAGUCUUCACACGGUACUGUCUGACUCUGGGGUCCCUUUGACAAUCUGCCCUCCUGGAAGCUGGGCGCCCCGCAACGGAAAGAAGGGGGGGGGUUCCACUGUGGGGGGAGGGGCUCCUCAGUGGAAGGGGCUGCAAUUGCCACGUAAGGGAAGGGGGCGGGUAGGAUCAGAAAAGGGCGGUACAGGCUCAGUACCAGAGCUAAGUU
ensembl:lncRNA